UACAGAGGGGGCAAGCGUUAUUCGGAAUUAUUGGGCGUAAAGGGCGCGUAGGCGGUUCUUCAAGUCUCUCGUGAAAUCCCUCGGCUUAACUGAGGACGUGCGGGAGAUACUGAAGGGCUUGAGUCCGGAAGAGGGUGGUGGAAUUCCCAGUGUAGCGGUGAAAUGCGUAGAUAUUGGGAGGAACACCGAUGGCGAAGGCAGCCUUCUGGGCCAACACUGACGCUCAUGCACGAAAGCGUGGGGAGCAAACAGG
rnacentral:rRNA from 1 species